rnacentral:piRNA from 1 species
UGAUCCCAGUCAUUCCAUUUU